UACGAAGGGGGCUAGCGUUGCUCGGAAUCACUGGGCGUAAAGCGCACGUAGGCGGCUUGUUAAGUCAGGGGUGAAAUCCUGGAGCUCAACUCCAGAACUGCCUUUGAUACUGGCGAGCUUGAGUUCGGGAGAGGUGAGUGGAACUGCGAGUGUAGAGGUGAAAUUCGUAGAUAUUCGGCGGAACACCAGUGGCGAAGGCGACUCACUGGCCCGAUACUGACGCUGAGGCGCGAAAGCGUGGGGAGCAAACAGG
rnacentral:rRNA from 1 species